AGAGAUAAAAAACAGUUCUGCUAAAACUGUACUCCGAUACACGACAACUCUCGGUAUCUCUU
rnacentral:tRNA from 1 species